UUCAAAACCAUCCGAUCAGUUUUGGGUUCUAAGCUAGGUUUGGUCGGGUCCUUGCUGUGUGAGGCACUGUUAGAGCAUUCUAGUGGGUUGUACUGCUCAACUCCAAGAGAUGGAUGAGGUGCCUCUGGAGCAGACUUUUGAGGAAGAUGAUGCUGCUGCUUAGUCUCCUUAGGAUUCUUAUAGUUAUUUCUUGUAUUUUGAAUUACUCUCGUAUGUUUAAGUUUUAAAUUAUGACUCAUUUUGGGAUGACG
rnacentral:sRNA from 1 species